rnacentral:lncRNA from 1 species
UCAAUGGUUCAUGAGUUCCAAUAUGGUAUCAGCCUGAUAUCUUUCCUUCUCCUCCAUCUUGUGUGGCUUUCCCUUUCUUCCUUUCACUAUUUUGUCUCCUUCUUAUCUUCUCCCAACAGGUGCCAUCUUUUAAUUGCUUCUUUCCAAAAUUUCCAGAUUAUAUUUCUCCUUCAAUACGCAAAAUCCACUUUCCUACACUAAAUUGCCUAUUUCCUUUUUUUUCUUCUUGAAUUUUCUCUCUUCAUAUUCAAGAACUUGUUCUUCUUUUUCUGAAAACUUUUUU